AGGAGGGCUCUGACCACCAGAGCACAUGAGAGAGCCAUCUUGUGUCCUGUGUCCCUUGGAGACCAGUCUGUGCAGGUGAGCAUGCAUAUUGCAGAGGCAACACAUCUUCUGGGACAGACCCAGAAAAUCAGGUCUGAUCACCAUAUAUCUGUGAACCUUCCCUGUAAGAGGAGAGCUUCCCUGCAGAGAGUACUCUGACCACUGAGACUCAGGAGAGAGAUAGACUCCCAGGUCUGCUGACAGAGGCUAACAGAAUCACAGGAGGAACAAGCUCCAACCAGAGACAACUAUAACAACUAACUCCAGAGAUUACCAGAUGGCAAAAGGCAAACGUAAGAAUCUUACUAACAGAAAACAAGACCACUCACCAUCUUUAGAACCCAGCACUCCCCCUCAGUCAGUCCUCCAUACCCUGACAUUCCCGAAAAGCAAGACUUGGAUUUAAAAUCAUAUCUCAUGAUGCUGGAAGAGGACAUCAAGAAGGGCUUUAAUAACUCACUUAAAGAAAUACAGAACACUACUGAUAAAGAGGUAGAAGUCCUUAAAGAAAUACAGGAAAACACAAUCAAACAGGUGAUGGACUUGAACAAAACCAUCAAAGAACUAAAAAGGGAAGUAGAAACAAUAAAACCCAAAGUGAGACAAUGCUGGAGAUAUAAACCCUAGGAAAGAAAUCUCGAACCAUAGAUGUGAGCAUCAGCAACAGAAUACAAGAGAUAGAAGAGAGAAUCUCAGGUGCAGAAAACUCCAUAGAGAACAUGGGCACAACAAUCAAAGAAAAUGCAAAAUGCAAAAAGAUCCUAACUCAAAACAUCCAGGAAAUCCAGGACACGAUGAGAAGACCAAACCUACAGACAAUAGGAGGAAAUGAGAAUGAAAAUUUUCAACUUAAAGGGACAGCAAAUAUCUUCAACAAAAUUAUAGAAGGAAACUUCCCAAACCUAAAGAAUGACAUGCCCAUGAACAUACAAGAAGCCUACAGAACUCCAAAUAGACUGGACAAGAAAAGAAAUUCCUCCCGACACAUAAUAAUCAGAACAAAAAAUGCACUAAAUAAAGAUAGAAUAUUAAAAGCAGUAAGGGAAACAGGUCAAGUAACAUAUAAAGGCAAGCCUAUCAGAAUUACACCAGAUUUUUCACCAGAGACUAUGAAAGCCAGAAGAUCCUGGACAGAUGUUAUGCAGACCCUAAGGGAGCACAAAUGCCAACCCAGGCUACUAUACCCAGCAAAACUCUCAAUUACCAUAGAUGGAGAAACCAAAGUAUUCCAUAAUAAAACCAAAUUCACACAAUAUCUUUCCUCGAAUCCAGCCCUUGAAAGGAUAAUAAAAGGAAAACACCAAUACAAGGAUGGAAACGACACACUAGAAAAAGCAAGAAAGUAAUCCUUCAACAAACCUAAAAGAAGACAGCCCCAAAAACAGAACCCAAAUUUUAACAACAAAAAUAACAGGAAGUAACAAUUACUUUUCUUUAGUUUCUCUUAAUAUCAAUGGACUCAAUUCCCCAAUAAAAAGACAUAGACUAAUAGCCUGGCUACACAAAUAGGACUCAACAUUUUGUUGCUUACAGGAAACCCACCUCAGGGAAAAGGACAGACACUACCUCAGAGUGAAAGACUGGAAAACAAUUUUCCAAGCGAAUGGAUCGAAGAAACAAGCUGGAGUAGCCAUUCUAAUAUCAAAUAAAAUUGACUUCCAACCCAAAGUUAUCAAAAAAGGCAAGGAGGGGCACUUCAUACUCAUCAAAGGUAAAAUCUUCCAAGAGGAACUCUCAAUUCUGAAUAUCUAUGCUCCAAAUGCAAGGGCAGCCACAUUCAUUAAAGAAACUUUAGUAAAGCUCAAAGCACACAUUGCACCUCACACAAUAAUAGUGGGAGACUUCAACACCCCACUCUCACCAAUGGACAGAUCCUGGAAAAAGAAAGUAAACAGAGAAACAUGGACAUAAACGGAAGUUAUGAAACAAAUGGAUUUAAUAGAUAUCUACAGAACAUUUUAUCCUAAAACAAAAGGAUAUUCCUUCUGCUCAGCAUCACAUGGUACCUAUUCCAAAAUUGACCACACAAUUGGUCACAAAACAAGCCUCAACAUAUACAAAAAUAUUGAAAUUGUCCCAUGCAUCCUAUCUGAUCACCACAGACUAAGGCUGAUCUUCAAUAACAGCAUAAAUACUAGAAAGCCAACAUCCUCAUGGAAACUGAACAACACUCUACUGAAUGAUUCCUUGGUCAAGGAAGAAAUAAAGAAAUUAAAGACUUUUUAGAGUUUAAUGAAAAUGAAGCCACAACAUACCCAAACUUAUGGGACACAAUGAAGGCAGUCCUAAGAGGAAAACUCAUAGCCCUGAGUACCUCCAAAAAGAAACUAGAGAGAGCAUAAACUAGCAGCCUGACAGCACACCUAGAAGCUAUAGAAAUAAAGGAAGCAAAUAGCCCAAGAGGAGUAGAUGGCAGGAAAUAAUCAAACUCGUGGCUAAAAUCAACCAGUGGAAAUAAAAAACUAUUCAAAGAAUCAACCAAACCAAGAGCUGGUUUUUGAGAAAAUCAACAAGAUAGAUAAACCCUUAGCCAAACUAACUAGAGGGCACAGGGACAGUAUCCUAAUUGAAAAAAUCAAAAAUGAAAAAGGAGAUAUAACAACACAACUUGAGGAAAUCCAAAAUAUCAUCAGAUCUUACUACAAAAGGCUAUACUCAACAAAACUAGAAAACCUGGAUGAAAUGGACAACUUCCUAGACAGAUAACAGGUACCAAAGUUAAAUCAGGAUCAGAUUAACAAUUUAAACAGUCUCAUUUCCCCUAAAGAAAUAGAAUCAGUCAUCAAGUCUCCCAACC
rnacentral:lncRNA from 1 species